rnacentral:lncRNA from 1 species
CUUUGAUCAGAUGCCUUGGAGUCUGAGUCACUUCUUGACCAAGAGAGCCUGUAGAGAAAGCAGACAGGAGUUGGAGGCUGAGGCCAGCAUGGAGUCUGACAACACGGAGGAAAGGCUGAGAGCAGGGACCAGGGUUUCCCAAGGGAACUUGCCUGCAGACAGGAGACAAAGGACCACGAAGCAGAAAACCUCAUCACUGUCUAUUUCCUGCUUUUCUUUGGAACACCUUCUUACUGAGGGAUACCGUUGUACGGCAAUAUCUGAUUCUAGGUCUCUGGGAGUGCUCUAAGCCUGGGAGCAAGCAAGAUUAACAGCAAUGUCACAAGCUGGCUUGGUACAGACUCAGUGACCCCAAAGCUGAAGAACUUCCAUCUCAUGAGUUGUAAAGGUAGCACAUAGUCCUCU